ensembl:lncRNA
GUGAUCCCUUACAAGACACUGAGGACUGAGUAAAAGCCCUUUGAAGCCAAACGACGGCUGCUGGGGAACUUUGACAUGUUUCUUUCAGACGACCGCAUUCGCCGCCUGCUGUCCUCGCACAUCGGCAAGCACUUCUACGAGAGAAAGAAGGAGCCUUUGUCAUUGAACCUGCAGAGCAAGAAGCUGGCCUUGGACAUCCAGAGGGAACAUCCAGGGAACAACAACCUCCAUUUCUAAGAAAGGCUGCUACUGGUGAGGCCUGCUCUCUGACUUAGUCAGUAAGUGCGCCUCAGCAAACCCUGUCCGUGUUGGACAUGGGCAAUGAUGGUGUCAUAGUGACUCAGAUCUCCCUCUCUAUUGGGGCCUGUCUCUGCAACUGACACACAAGGGCAAUUAAUGUACAUUCAUUUAUAUACACAUUGCCUCCUGUAAAAUGUUAUUGUUUGUUUUAGCAUGGCUUGUGUGGCCCACUCUGGGAUGGCUGCAGAUGAAAUAGCAGAGAAUAUUGAUUCAGCUGUCAGCACCAUCGUGACAAAACUACAGGUUAGAAAGGACCGUUGAUAAAGGUCAUCCACUUGAAAAGCCAAUCAGUGGCUCUGCCCAUCUACACCUCUAACCUGAGUAACCUGACCCUUAUAGAUGAAACACAGAAACAGACCCGCGCAGCCAUGGAUGCCAAGAAAAAUGCGCGGAAACAGAAGUCUGCAAAGAAAGAACAGAAGUCUACAGAAAAAAACUCUGGUGCUGACAGGGAGGAAGAGGUUCCCAUAGUAAUGCCAAGGAAAAAGGCUAGUGGAGGUCUGUACCCCGCUUGUGUCAAACCAAAUGUUAUUAGUUUUAUCAAUUAUCUAUUUUUGUCAAAUAACAUUUUUCAAAGAACUCUGUGCACUGGUUUGGAACUUGUUUCACUCUCCUUAUGAAUUUUGGUUUAAAUCCAAUGCUAUAUUAAACUUAUUCCAGUGAGGCAGGGGAGCGGUGUCCCUUUUAUGGUGUUUCCCUGUUCACUCUCUGGGAACACUGCCCCCCCAGUGGAAGUUAAUUGACCGACCUCUUUGUCUCUACAGAAAAAGACUCCUCUCAGUACUGUACAAAUAGUUUUCUUCUCUCUGAUCCCCGUAGAAGCCGACCAAGAAGGGACUUGUGAAGGUACCCAAACCAACAGGAGGAAAGGUAUAAAAUAAAAAAUGACCAAGAAGGCUGCAAAAAUACCUUCACAAAAUAUGAAAAGAGAAAGUGCCUAAAUCUUAAUGUCUGUUUGUCAACUCAGUGUAACACAACUCUCCUUUCUCUCCCCAUUGCUACCUGUGUAUUACUCCCGCCUUCUCUAAAUGGAACUCUGACUUCAUUAUACUGAUAUAAAAAGGACUGGUUCUGAAUGUAUAUAAACUGUCAAUGUUAAUCGAGCCAAGGACAAACUCAAAUGUGUUGCAAAUCUUUGUCUGCCCCAUAAAAGGGUCUUGUUCAAAAUCAUAUUUUUUAUAAGCCCAACUUGUAAAUUAAAAUAUUACCACAAAGUAUAUUUCAUGUCUUUAAUUUGUUAUCCACAAUGACAUUGU